UUAGAAAUUCAUUCACUACUGAAACUGACUCAAGACUUGGGAUUUGAAACUUAAGUCUUUGACUCAGAAAAGGUGAUAGAUGCACCCCUUGGAAAUCAUUCUUCUUGCCUUAAGGAAAAAGACAAACUGACCAAUAGGCAUUAAGGUACUACCCCUCCAUUCUUUGACUGGCUCAUUGGGAAAUUGGAACUGGAAUAUGUUGUUUCUAC
rnacentral:lncRNA from 1 species